rnacentral:lncRNA from 1 species
AUCACGACCCAGGGUACACCCAAGUGUCCACGAUGCAAAGAACUGUCCUCUAAGGAAGCACAGGUGAAAUGACAAUCUAUGAUCUCAGUGCUCUGCCCACUUCGCACAGUGCUCAGUUCUGGGUCACACACACACAGGUACAUCAGUUUGUAGUAACUGCCAUAAAAAGUGAAAUGCCCAAUGCCAUGGUUUAGAAGUCUAGAACACGCUAAAACUGGGAGAAGAGGAUGUUUUAUUUUUAUGUAGCCUCCAUUUCGCCUUCUCCCGAGGAACCUACAAGCAAGCAGCAUGCAUUCAUUUUGCUUUCAGACACGCUAGACUCGAGGAACAGAACCGUCUGGAACUCCUGCAGUGACCACCUAAUCAUGCAUCUAUCUGAUGGUCUCCUGGAAGGAUGGUGCCAUACGCACAUAGUUGCUUAUGUC